rnacentral:lncRNA from 1 species
GCCGGUAGUGGUGGCGCACGCCGGUAGGAUUUGCUGAAGGAGGCAGAGGCAGGAGGAUCACGAGUUCGAGGCCAGCCUGGGCUACACAUUUUUUUCACCCUCCGCUCCUCACCCUUUCCUCAACACACUUCUUACACACUCACCCCUGCGCUCCUCCUCUUCUUUGCACUCUUCGCCGGUAGUGGUGGCGCACGCCGGUAGGAUUUGCUGAAGGAGGCAGAGGCAGGAGGAUCACGAGUUCGAGGCCAGCCUGGGCUACACAUUUUUUUCACCCUCCGCUCCUCACCCUUUCCUCAACACACUUCUUACACACUCACCCCUGCGCUCCUCCUCUUCUUUGCACUCUUCGCCGGUAGUGGUGGCGCACGCCGGUAGGAUUUGCUGAAGGAGGCAGAGGCAGGAGGAUCACGAGUUCGAGGCCAGCCUGGGCUACACAUUUUUUUCACCCUCCGCUCCUCACCCUUUCCUCAACACACUUCUUACACACUCACCCCUGCGCUCCUCCUCUUCUUUGCACUCUUCGCCGGUAGUGGUGGCGCACGCCGGUAGGAUUUGCUGAAGGAGGCAGAGGCAGGAGGAUCACGAGUUCGAGGCCAGCCUGGGCUACACAUUUUUUUCACCCUCCGCUCCUCACCCUUUCCUCAACACACUUCUUACACACUCACCCCUGCGCUCCUCCUCUUCUUUGCACUCUUCGCCGGUAGUGGUGGCGCACGCCGGUAGGAUUUGCUGAAGGAGGCAGAGGCAGGAGGAUCACGAGUUCGAGGCCAGCCUGGGCUACACAUUUUUUUCACCCUCCGCUCCUCACCCUUUCCUCAACACACUUCUUACACACUCACCCCUGCGCUCCUCCUCUUCUUUGCACUCUUCGCCGGUAGUGGUGGCGCACGCCGGUAGGAUUUGCUGAAGGAGGCAGAGGCAGGAGGAUCACGAGUUCGAGGCCAGCCUGGGCUACACAUUUUUUUCACCCUCCGCUCCUCACCCUUUCCUCAACACACUUCUUACACACUCACCCCUGCGCUCCUCCUCUUCUUUGCACUCUUCGCCGGUAGUGGUGGCGCACGCCGGUAGGAUUUGCUGAAGGAGGCAGAGGCAGGAGGAUCACGAGUUCGAGGCCAGCCUGGGCUACACAUUUUUUUCACCCUCCGCUCCUCACCCUUUCCUCAACACACUUCUUACACACUCACCCCUGCGCUCCUCCUCUUCUUUGCACUCUUCGCCGGUAGUGGUGGCGCACGCCGGUAGGAUUUGCUGAAGGAGGCAGAGGCAGGAGGAUCACGAGUUCGAGGCCAGCCUGGGCUACACAUUUUUUUCACCCUCCGCUCCUCACCCUUUCCUCAACACACUUCUUACACACUCACCCCUGCGCUCCUCCUCUUCUUUGCACUCUUCGCCGGUAGUGGUGGCGCACGCCGGUAGGAUUUGCUGAAGGAGGCAGAGGCAGGAGGAUCACGAGUUCGAGGCCAGCCUGGGCUACACAUUUUUUUCACCCUCCGCUCCUCACCCUUUCCUCAACACACUUCUUACACACUCACCCCUGCGCUCCUCCUCUUCUUUGCACUCUUCGCCGGUAGUGGUGGCGCACGCCGGUAGGAUUUGCUGAAGGAGGCAGAGGCAGGAGGAUCACGAGUUCGAGGCCAGCCUGGGCUACACAUUUUUUUCACCCUCCGCUCCUCACCCUUUCCUCAACACACUUCUUACACACUCACCCCUGCGCUCCUCCUCUUCUUUGCACUCUUC